AGUUCAGAGUCUGGGCGCAGAGAGCCAGCAUGACAGCCUCGAAGCCAAGAUUCAGAAGCCAUUAGAUAGAUAAGUAAAGGAGGCUGAAGCAUUCCCUUAGUCCUUUCAGAAGAGGCUCAGGUGGGCCCCUCCCCACUUCCUGGGCAUAAGAGGGAGGGGAGGGCGGCACAGCCAGGCUGGCAAGAGCCUCCAUAAAGCAGACUUCAGUUCUUCUAAUGGAGUCUGUUUCCGGAUCUGGUCUACCUUGUGGAGCUGGCACUGCGGGUCGAAAGAGGACUUCCAAGGCUGCUGCUUCAAAGCGGGGCCCACGUGGGCACGACAGGUGGAGAACAAGGAAUGGAAGCCUUUGAGAGGCUCCUUCGGAGCAAGAGGGAAGGAGGGUCCUGCCCAUCUGGCGCGCCGCCUAUUCCUACAACACGGAGGCCCAGAUCUACGCCCCCAGCAGCGCCUCUUCCUACUUUGAGCCGCAGGGGGGCAGCUCUCAGGUGAGCCCGGGGGCGUCCUCUCCCACCGCCAUCCCCUCCCACGGCAUGGUGGGCCUCGCCCUGGACAGCGGGGGCAGCAGCCAGAUCGUCUCCAGCUCCGGGGCCUAUCUCAUCCAUGGCGGGAUGGAGAACGCCCGGCACACCUUGUCGCACACCUCUCGGUCCUCUCCGGCCACGAUCGAAAUGGCCAUUGAAAACCUC